rnacentral:rRNA from 1 species
UACGGGGGGAGCAAGCGUUGUUCGGAUUUACUGGGCGUAAAGGGCGCGUAGGCGGCGUAACAAGUCACUUGUGAAAUCUCCGGGCUUAACUCGGAGCGGUCAACUGAUACUGUGCGACUAGAGUGCAGAAGGGGCAACUGGAAUUCUCGGUGUAGCGGUGAAAUGCGUAGAUAUCGAGAGGAACACCUGCGGCGAAGGCGGCACUCUGGGCCGGUACUGACGCUGAGGAGCGAAAGCGUGGGGAGCGAACAGG